UGUAGACAUCACCCUGCCCACUUUUUAGCAUAUUUAGACAGCCUUGUUAAAUCAAAGCCAGAAGAUGAAAGGUUGUCCCUGCUUCAAUCUCUUCUUAAUCCUGAAGCAUUGCGACUGGAUUGGCUUUGUCUGGCAGUUUCUCAUGAUGCGCCACAAAGAACAAAUACAGUGUAUUCUGAAGGAAACCCUAGACCACGUUCACAUUUGUUUACCUGGGGCUAUAGCCAACUGAUUUUACUU